AUACGUAGGUGGCGAGCGUUGUCCGGAAUUACUGGGCGUAAAGGAUGCGUAGGUGGAUACUUAAGUGGGAUGUGAAAUCCCCGGGCUCCACCCGGGAACUGCAUUCCAAACUGGGUAUCUAGAGUGCAGGAGAGGAAAGCGGAAUUCCUAGUGUAGCGGUGAAAUGCGUGGAUAUUAGGAGGAACACCCGUGGCGAAGGCGGCUUUCUGGACUGAAACUGACACUGAGGCAUGAAAGCGUGGGUAGAAAACAGGAUUAGAUACCCUGGUAGUCCACGCCGUAAACGAUGGGUACUAGGUGUAGGAGGUAUCGACCCCUUCUGUGCCGUCGUUAACACAAUAAGUACCCCGCCUGGGGAGUACGGUCGCAAGACUAAAACUCAAAUGAAUUGACGGGG
rnacentral:rRNA from 1 species